UAUGACUAAUCAUAGCCGGUCCCAAGUCCGGAUAAAGGAGGAGGGUUGUGUUUAGAUUUAAAGAAUAAACUAAGUUUAGUUUUGGUCCGUACUUCAAUCUUUUGAAUACAAAACAUUUUGUAUUAUUUAUUACUAAAAGAACUCAAUAUAUAAUGGAUAAACAACUCGGCCUGCACAUAGGCCGUGUAACCUUGUUGACUGAUAAGCCUUCAAUUCUAGAAGAGCCCAGAAGACUUGAGAAGCAGGGACAGCAACAGAAUUCUGUUACAAGGGUAAGUGGGGAGGGGAAUUAGUUAGGAAAUUUCUAUAAAUAAAGGUAGAAGGGAGGGUAGAAGAUAGGCAAAUGUUGAGUGAAAGAAAGGAGUCUUGUUUGUCAUUUACUUACCCGUAAUUCUCUGCAAUUCAAUCAAAUAUCUGUUAUUAAUUUCUGUUCUUCUUUUCUUCCUCUUCUUUUCUUCCACUUAGAACCCUAACAUUGACCUAGCCGAGCUCGUUUGACACCACUACUUCUUGACAUAAUGUGCCCAGCCAUGCUUCGAAUUUCUGUGACUGAUCCAAAUUGAUGGGUUUCUUUUCAGAUCUUCUUGAGAUGAUCAGAUUGGCAUGGAUCCAGUGGCUAGAAAAUAGUUCCUAAGGUGAAAUGAAGCAGUAAAUGAGCUGGUUUGAAAAUAUGGACUGAAAACAAGUUCAUCCGAUAUUUAUCCAGACUUGUCAGAGAUAUCCACGAUAAUUUAUUUUGACUUAAGAUUCAUGAUAUUCUAGUCCUAAAUGCAUGAGCAACAGUUCUAAGACAGUGAAAAUGCAGAUUGUGGAAUGAAAUGAAAGCAUGUUCAUCCAAGACAUGCCUCUGAACUUAUUCAGAAGCUGAACCGUAUGUUGUGAACUUUGUUAGGAAUAGAAAUCAUUCGGGUUCAAAAUUCUAAAGUUUCCAUCUGCUUUAGUCUUUC
rnacentral:lncRNA from 1 species